GAUGAACGCUGACGGCGUGCCUAAUACAUGCAAGUCGAGCGAACGGACGAGAAGCUUGCUUCUCUGAUGUUAGCGGCGGACGGGUGAGUAACACGUGGAUAACCUACCUAUAAGACUGGGAUAACUUCGGGAAACCGGAGCUAAUACCGGAUAAUAUUUUGAACCGCAGGGUUCAAAAGUGAAAGACGGUCUUGCUGUCACUUAUAGAUGGAUCCGCGCUGCAUUAGCUAGUUGGUAAGGUAACGGCUUACCAAGGCAACGAUGCAUAGCCGACCUGAGAGGGUGAUCGGCCACACUGGAACUGAGACACGGUCCAGACUCCUACGGGAGGCAGCAGUAGGGAAUCUUCCGCAAUGGGCGAAAGCCUGACGGAGCAACGCCGCGUGAGUGAUGAAGGUCUUCGGAUCGUAAAACUCUGUUAUUAGGGAAGAACAUAUGUGUAAGUAACUGUGCACAUCUUGACGGUACCUAAUCAGAAAGCCACGGCUAACUACGUG
rnacentral:rRNA from 1 species